rnacentral:rRNA from 1 species
CCUACGGGUGGCAGCAGUGAGGAAUAUUGGUCAAUGGACGAGAGUCUGAACCAGCCAAGUCGCGUGAAGGAUGACUGCCCUAUGGGUUGUAAACUUCUUUUAUAAAGGAAUAAAACGAGGCACGUGUGCCUUUUUGCAUGUACUUUAUGAAUAAGGAUCGGCUAACUCCGUGCCAGCAGCCGCGGUAAUACGGAGGAUCCGAGCGUUAUCCGGAUUUAUUGGGUUUAAAGGGAGCGUAGACGGGUUGGUAAGUCAGUUGUGAAAGUUUGCGGCUCAACCGUAAAAUUGCAAGUGAUACUGGCAGUCUUGAGUACAGUUGAGGUAGGCGGAAUGCGUGGUGUAGCGGUGAAAUGCUUAGAUAUCACGAAGAACCCCGAUUGCGAAGGCAGCUUACUAAGCUGUGACUGACAUUGAUGCUCGAAAGUGUGGGGAUCAAACAGGAUUAGAUACCCCAGUAGUC